AUUGAACGCUGGCGGAAUGCUUUACACAUGCAAGUCGAACGGCAGCACGGGGGCAACCCUGGUGGCGAGUGGCGAACGGGUGAGUAAUACAUCGGAACGUGCCCAGUCGUGGGGGAUAACGUAGCGAAAGUUACGCUAAUACCGCAUACGAUCUAUGGAUGAAAGCGGGGGACCGUAAGGCCUCGCGCGAUUGGAGCGGCCGAUGUCAGAUUAGGUAGUUGGUGGGGUAAAGGCCCACCAAGCCGACGAUCUGUAGCUGGUCUGAGAGGACGACCAGCCACACUGGGACUGAGACACGGCCCAGACUCCUACGGGAGGCAGCAGUGGGGAAUUUUGGACAAUGGGCGCAAGCCUGAUCCAGCCAUUCCGCGUGCAGGACGAAGGCCUUCGGGUUGUAAACUGCUUUUGUACGGAACGAAAAGGUCCUGGUUAAUACCCGGGGCUCAUGACGGUACCGUAAGAAUAAGCACCGGCUAACUACGUGCCAGCCGCCGCAGUAAGAC
rnacentral:rRNA from 1 species